rnacentral:rRNA from 1 species
GACGAACGCUGGCGGCGCGCUUAACACAUGCAAGUCGAACGGAAAGGCCUGCUUUCCCUUGUGGAUUGCGGGUACUCGAGUGGCGAACGGGUGAGUAACACGUGAGUAAUCUGCCCCCAACUUGGGUAUAAGCCUGGGAAACUGGGUCUAAUUCCCGAUAGGACUGCAGGGUGGUGCCUGUGGUGGAAAACGAUUUUCUAGUGGUUGGGGAUGAGCUCGCGGCCUAUCAGCUUGUUGGUGGGGUAAUGGCCUACCAAGGCGGCGACGGGUAGCCGGCCUGAGAGGGUGGACGGCCACAUUGGGACUGAGAUACGGCCCAGACUCCUACGGGAGGCAGCAGUGGGGAAUAUUGCACAAUGGGCGGAAGCCUGAUGCAGCGACGCCGCGUGGGGGAUGACGGCCUUCGGGUGGUAAACUCCUUUCGACCGCGAGGAAGCCACCUGGUUGGAAGGGUGGUGACGGUAGUGGUAGAAGAAGCACCGGCUAACUACGUG